CAGGCCACAGGAGUAUGUGCUGCUCUAAUGAUAGAAGAAUUAGUCUUCAGCUAGAAGACCACAAUCUCUUCCAAGAAUGUCCCAUCAUUGCUCUGCCAUCUCAACCACCACUAUCCUUUUCACAGGCUUAUUUCUGCCAGACUGAUUGAGGCUGCAUGCACGUGGGAAGAGCUGCUGUGGCUCUACAUGGCUGUGCCGAAAGGCAUAUACAAGUUUGACAGACACAAAGAAAACUCCAUUCAGAAAGUGGCAAGAUGUUGAGACAAAGCCUUUCUCUCCCUGAGGUUUUCUCCUGAGCACCAGAGGAGGUGGAUGUCCAAAGGAGGUUGUGAAACCCAGGGGAAGAUCACACUGGAACAGGCUCCUGGCAGGACCUGUCACCCCUUGGAGAGAAGAGCGCAUGCUGGAGCAGAUUUACUGGCAGGACCUUGUGUAAGGAUGCACUGGAAGGGAUGCACCCAUAGGAAAGACAAUGGUGGACCAGUCUGUGAGAAGCUGCAGCCUGUGGGAAAUGCACAUGUUGGAGAAGUUUAUGGAGGACUGACUCAUGUGGAUGUGUCCCUGUGCUGGAGCAUGAGCAGUGUGAAGGGUUCUCACCCUUAGGAGGAAGCAGUGGCAGAAACAAGAAGCUGCAAUUCAUAUUCCUUGUCCACCUGCACCUUGGAGAAAAUGGGGAGUAAAGCUGGUCCUUUUAAAAAGGGAGGGAUGGAGGCAUGGAGUUUAAAGAUUUUG